rnacentral:rRNA from 1 species
CACGGUAGGGUCAGCGACUGGGGUGAAGUCGUAACAAGGUAGCCGUAGGGGAACCUGCGGCUGGAUCACCUCCUUUCUAAG